GGAAGUCAUCCGGCUGGAUGAGGGCUCUGUCUUGAAAACAGAGGGCGCUGAAAAAGUGCUUGUGGGUUCGAGUCCCACGGCUUCCG
rnacentral:tRNA from 2 species